AGUGGUUUUUUUAGAGUAAUAUACUAAAGUUAAAAAAGCUGACAGUAAAAAAUAAGAUGAUUUGUUUCAAGAAAGUGAGUGGCUUAGUUCAAAGUGUUAUUACCGAAUAUUUAGCAUUAUGAAACCUAUAGUAUUAUAUAGCAUAUUGUAUACCUAUUUUACUUAUAAAAUUAAUAAUCUUUAUAGUAAUUUUUAAAAUUUUUAAAUUGUAAAAAUGCUUCAUGAGAAAACAAUUUCUUAGAUGAAAUUCAAAUUUUCUCUAUGCUUGUAUUCUGUAAGUCCAACGAGAUUCAUUUUAAGACACAUCAAUCUUCAUAACCUUUAAAUAAAAAGGAUAAAUAUGAUGGAUUUCCAUUAUCUCAAGCAAUUUUAUAACAAAUUCACUCAUGGCCAAAUUUGAAAUGGCAGCUAGAAAAGGCAAAAGAUCUUUUCAGUCUAACCAAGCUAUACAACUUAAUAAAAGAAUGAAAAAAAUAAUAAAUUUAAAAAAAUAAAAAAAUCAACGAAAAUUGAAAAACAGAGAAGCAAACGCGGAAAACACCGUUAUGGAAUGAUGAGUCAACGAUAUCAUCAAUUAAAGCUGUUAAAAAUGUAAAACUUUUUACAAUCCAAGAUGCUCGUUACAAGUUCGACUUUCUGGAAUAACUGAAAUGGGAGCCAAACCUGGAUAUCCAACUAUUUUAGAUGAAGAAGAAAAAAAAAUAUUAAGCGAUUUUGCAUAUAAUCGUGCAGCUUCAGGAAUCGGAUUUGGUCGAUCGCAAUUCUAAAAUAUUCUGAAAAUUAUGCUUUAAACAUAAAAAAUCAUUCGAAAUUGGAACUCCUAAGAAAAAUUGGUGGCGUGGGAUCUGAUCAAUGCACAAAAUUUUUUUUUUACGUCAACCAGAAGUGCUCCAAGUAUACGCAGAAGAGGCUCACAAGGUACAGUUCUGUCAGCUCCAAAUACUGUUCUCCACGCGUGUUUUUGUUUGCAGUACAAUUUUUUAAAUUUUGUAUGGUUUGUACUUGUGCAAUAAAUUAAGUAACAAUGAAUAAAA